CGCUCUUAGACUCAUUGUUCUGCCUAUUCCUAACACUAAAUAGAUGUUCUGUUUUGGCUGAUAGAGAUUAUAUUCACAUCAUUGCCUGUUUGGAUCAGAGGCCUCUCAAGGGAGCAGAUUAGACUUCAAAGAAACCAACCACAAGAAGGAAAUCUUGUAGAGGAAAGCUUUCUGAGAAACCUCCUCCCAUCUUUCUCCUCUCCUUUGUCUUUGUGUGCAACUUCCUCCACUCUAGUCUGAGCUCAGGGCUCAGGCCAGGCUGCUUCCUGUUGGCAGGUUGCUGGGGUGUAGACUGUCAGACAGCAAAUAAAAAGAGCUAUGAAAUCAUAACCAUUCUCUAAAGAGUUAACUCUUCUGUGUGAGACUAACACAGAGGGUAGAAUGGAUGUGAUUAAAAAUUUUUGUCAAAUCCACCUAGGCUGUGACAGAAUUCUUGAAUGUUACCAUGUUACCUACCAUGCCUCAGGCAUUGAGCUAAACGACCAGGCUACAAAGAUGCACAGAGAUGCCUUACCUUGAAGAGUUCAAGACCUGGGGUACAGAAUGGCCAGGGGCACAAGACAGCUCAUGGAGGAGGAACGAAAAGUCCGGCACCGUGAGAUGAGUAUUCAAACGCAAGCUGAGCAGAGAAGAUCCAGAUAAAUGCAGCCCUUCAUUCAAGGCUACACUUUCUGAUGGCUAUUACAUUUGAACUCCAAGAGGUAAACUCUGUUUCACUUCUUCUGCAAAGCCUUUUCAAAGCUUUUCCAUAAAACUGUAGCUCAACACUAAGUAAGUUGUCCCUUCACUGAAUCCUAUAGCACAGUAGUUCUUAAAUUUGAGCAUCAGCCAAGCGCAGUGGUCCACGCCUAUAAUCCCAGAACUCUGAGGCCAAGGUGGAGGAUUGCUUGAGCCCAGGAGUUUGAAACCAGCCUGGAAAACACAGGGAGACCCCGCCUCUCUACAAAAUUAAAAAAUAUAUAAAAAUUUUGAGCAUGUAUUAGAAUCACCCAGAGGGCAGAGAGAGUAUGGAGCACCCCCACAGUAUAGUAGGUCUGGGCUGGAGCCCAAAGAUUUGCAUUCCUAACAAGUUCACAGGUUAUACCAAUGCUGCAGGUCUGGAACCAUGCUUUGAGAACCACAGCUGUUAACAUAUAUGCUCUACCUUAUAAUUUCAUCUCUUAUUUGUAUUGUCUAGAAAUAGUCCUGAAUUAUUCUUAGCGUAUCAGUCUGUCUUCUCGACCAGAUUUCAAUUCCUGCAGUGGCAGAGGUUGUAUAUAUUUUCUACCACAUCAAUUAGCAUUAUUGGACACAUAGUCUACUAAGUACUUAUACACUGGGAAGAGCUUCAGAGAACUUGAAUUCUUCAAGGAGACAGGGAUCAACUAUGGUUAAUUAUAGGAUUUCCACAUUUUGCAAAAGAUCAUCUAAUUUUUCCUCAUCAUUCAUAUUUGCAGAGAAAAGUCUUCAUUUCCUUGAGCAAUAUCCUAAUCUCAUUAAAGAAACACUCCAGUCUUGAUUUAGGAAAAAAAGAUUCAUUCCUUCAUCCUUCCAAAUAAGGUACAGUACAACUCAAUAACAAUGCACAUUACUGAAAAACACAAUUGCGUCUUAUAUUGCUCACUACUCUUUAAGUAUAAUUCAGAUAUUAAGGAAAAUAACUGCUAAUCACAUUAACACAUUACAGAAAUCAAAAUUAACUUACCACACAAAAUAAAUUAAAACAUUAAAUAUUAACCUUUUCAGUGCAACAUAUACAGACAUCAGAGUAAGGAGUUCUAAAAAAAAGCAUCAGGUUUAUUAUAAUAAAGAUAAUGAAAAGUUGACCAUUUUAGUAAAUUAUUAAGACUAAGAAGAGGAGUUGCUUUUUCAGUACUCUCUCUCUCUCUGUGUGAACCACUAGAUCUUUCAGAAAGCCUGGUAAAUCAAUGGCUAGAGAGAACAGGUCUUAUGUUAGAACAUUUAAAAAUAUACAUGUUUGUCUUACUUCUGCAAUGUGUUCUUGGUUUUGGGCAUUUGAGUCAUUCCUCCUUCUGUGACUGGGCAGGUUGGAAGAGAUCAAAGCCCAGAACCAACUAGAGGGCAGGGGUCUCCUGAGCAGUGUUAGAGCCUCAUUAGUCCAUCCCGGCCAAAUUGACUGAAAAAGCAACUGGUGACCCAUGUGCCCUCGAAAACCUGGCUUGAAGAUAACAGGCAGUUUUCUGUACCUGCAAAACACAAUCCCUUGAGAAGCUCCAGAAGCACAAAUUCUCCUCCCUUACCAGUGUGGGUGGGUGAGUGGCAAUCCCAUCUUUUUCUCCUUUCUCAGGGAAAAGAACUCUAGGGCCAUUCUGCCCAUCUCUCCUGCGGGGACACAAUGGCCAGCCCAUCCCUGGCUUGGUUCCACGUGUGUCCAGCCGGGGCCCUGUCUUCCAGAUCAGGGUUGGCUGCUGUCUAUCUUUCCAUGUAGAAGAAAACAUUUCCUGUCAGGAUGCU
rnacentral:lncRNA from 1 species